rnacentral:lncRNA from 1 species
UUUUUUUCAAUUCCACUUACUCAAAUGGUGUCAUUCUAUAAAGAGGCUUAGAUAUUGGAAUUAUCCCAAGGACCAAAUCAAAAGCAAAUUCACCCUCUUUGUCUAGAGGUAAUCCAAGCAAGUCAUCUGGAAAUACAUCAGGCAAAGAGGUAAAUCAUGUCCAAUACUCUCAAAAUAAAAGAUGAGAUGAUCAAUGAUCAUUUUGUAUAACACUCUAUACUGGUAUGAUUGG